AAUUUUCAGUUUAUCUAGAUGUACAUGAUUAUUUACCAAGAAAACAGUAAUAUGUAGUCUUUGCUUUUCACAGAAGAAGGUUUAAGAUAAUUUUAUUUUUCCAUAGGUGCAUAGAUGCUUAAGAUGCAAGGAAAUUGGUUUUACAAUUAUGCUUAAGGAUGUGGCUCCCAUUGAUGGACACAUUUCCUGAAACUGGAAGAGGGCUUAUCUGUAGUUAUCUUCAUUUCAUUCCUGACCUUUCCCCAUGUUCUUGGCUCUCUUCAUUUUCAGCACAGCUCAAGUAUGAGAAGAAAACCUGUAGAAAUUUCCAAAGGUUAUGGUGACCAUUGUUUCUCAUUAUCCCAAUGCUCAUCAGCCUCUAAGAGGAUGUGAUUGGAGGUUACUGGUCUAAGCUUCUCAAUCAUGGUUUUCUUUUUCUUUGGAGCAAAAGACAGUCAUUCAAAAUGCUGAAAAGGAUUAAGGGUAUCAGUAGUAGGAGCAUUUAAUGGUAGAAUGAUGAUGUAGUUAGAAAUGACAUUGCUCAAGAAAUCAGUUAGGGACUCUGCCCCAAGAGGACAAGUCAAAUAUCUAUAUGGUAUCGCCACAAGUCUAGAAGCACAAUGUAAAUACUGUAAGAAAUUCUGAACACAUGUAUGCAUUAAUCAAAAGACAGUAUAAUGAUUAAGGAUUCUGCUAAGGAGGACUUUCAUAUGCUUAUUAAACAAAGACUCCUGUUUUGUGCAAAUUGGGGAACAAAUAUAGAUAUGAAAGUCCAAGGCUCUGUAAUCAAAAAUAAUGAACAAAUUUGUGUCUUCACAAAGAAACUGAUUGUUAGGGAGCAACUGCAUAAGAAGAAGAAACAAUUGCUAUGUCAUUUGGAGGACUUUUAGUUAUUGGAUAUGCUAUGAGAAAACAGGGGGUCCUAUUGUGAACUUCCUGUGUUACCUAUAUUAAAUCACUUAUGUAUGAAAACCCUAAAAUCUAUAACUUGAUGAGAUUGUUUAUCUUCAAUAUGCAAUUUUGCAGUUGGUUCUUUGCAGGUUAAGAAGGAGCUUUGAUUUGCUUUUGACAUCACUAUUCAAUAACCUGACUGUAGCUAUUCUAUAUCUCUUUGGACAGACCAAAAAUAUCACAUCAAUCUGUCACGCAGGGACUGAAAGUCAUCAAAGAAGGGUUAAAAAGCCACGUGUCAAUCUUUCUUAUCCUUGCUCUAUGUAAAAGAUCGCUGUAAUUCUUUGUAUAGUCAUAUAGUUUAUGUUUAUGGUUAGAAUUGUGUCUGAUAAAUAUUUAAGCACAUGUAAGUGUUGCUGCUUGUUGCUGAUCAUCUCAGAGUCUUUCUUCAUGAGUUGGGCUACUACCAAACUAGAAUUAUACUCGUGCAAAAGGAAAAACUGUAUGUCCUCUUCUCAUUCUCUCCUGUGUCUUAUAAUCCUCCUCAGACCACUGCCCAAGAUGAUGAAUUACUGUUUGUGUUUGUCGUAGUCAGGGUUUCUAUUCCUGCACAAACAUCAUGACCAAGAAGCAAGUUGGGAAGGAAAGGAUUUAUUCGGCAUACACUUCCAUACCGCUGUUCAUCACCAGAGGAAGUCAGGACUGGAACUCAAGCAGGUCAGGGAGCAGGAGCUGAUGCAGAGGUCAUGGAGGGAUGUUUUUUAUUGGCUUGCCUCCCCUGGAUUGCUCAGCCUGUUCUCUUAUAGAACCCAAGACUACCAGCCCAGAGAUGGCAUCACCCACAAGGGGCCUUUCCCCCUUGAUCACUAAUUGAGAAAAUACCUUACAGUUGGAUCUCAUGGAGGCAUUUCCUCAAAUGAAGCUCCUUUCUCUGUGAUAACUCCAGCUGUGUCAAGUUGACACAAAACUAGCCAGUACAGUGUUCAACAACAAAAAGACAUUUGCCCGAAGGAUUCUAAACCAGUUCAUGCCAGAAGGAUUCUUAAGUAGUUCAACUCAUAUAGGGAUCUCUGCUUCUAGCCCACUGUGACGACUUCUUUGACUGCUCUAGGUGCUCAUGAGUUCCUGAAACUGUAUCUUUGGUGUUAACAAUUAUUUAGAUUCUGUGUGCUAAAUUAGGAUGUAGUUAUUAUCUAGACAGCCUCAACAAAACAAAACAAAACAAAAC
rnacentral:lncRNA from 1 species